ensembl:snoRNA
GUCGUCUGAAAAUCACCCGCGGCCUGCUCCCGUGGCCCUGGGUGAGACCACGGCGCCCACAGACACCAGGGGUCUUUAAGCUUAUCCCCCAUAGACUUGAGUGUGGGGGAUAAAACCCAGGCCCCGACAGAU